rnacentral:lncRNA from 1 species
CACUGAGCAAUGAACCAUGAAAAUGAGGUCAAGGUCAAAUAAAACCUGCGCGACUGACAUAUAGAUCAUAAAAUAUUUCCAUACACCAAAUAUAGUUGACCUAUGGCAUAUAGUAUUAGAUAAAAAGACCAAAACUCAAAAACUUAACUUUGACCACUGAACCAUGAAAAUGAGGUCAAGGUCAGAUGACAUCUGCCCGCUAGACGUGUACACCUUACAAUCAUUCCAUACAAC